rnacentral:rRNA from 1 species
UACGGAGGGUGCGAGCGUUUAUCGGAAUUACUGGGCGUAAAGCGCACGAAGACGGUUGGGUAAGUCGGAUGUGAAAGCACUGGGCUUAACCUGGGAACUGCAUUCCAUACUUCUCGGCUAGAGUAUGGGAGAGUGUAGCGGAAUUUCCGGUGUAACGGUGAAAUGCGUAGAUAUAGGAAGGAACACUAAUGGCGAAGGCAGCUUCCUGGCCCAAUACUGUCGCUCAGGUGCGAAAGCGUGGGGAUCAAACAGG